UACAUCUCCACAUUCAGCAGUCCGGGCCAGGGGAAGAGAGGGAGGGAUAAUUCCACCCAAAUUGUCCCUAUAACUGGUUGGUUUUUGCAGUUAUAAUAAUGAGGCAUCAAUUAAGGACAGAACAACAGUCACGGAGGAAGAAAUGCUGGUGACCUGUAUGUGAAGACAAGAUGGAACUUGAGAAAUGCUCUAGGUGUUGAUUUUCCACCUGCAGCUAUGUGGAUCCUUAUCGGCCUUCUCAUUCCUGUCUUUUGGCUGGGUUCAAAAACUAGAUUAAAACUCGCUUAUUUAUGGCAAAACAAAGGUUAACAUGCAAACUAUUCACUGCAGUAAAAAAAACAUAAAAAUAAAAAAUAAAUAGCGUAAAAA